GUGCCAGCAGCCGCGGUAAUACGUAGGUGGCAAGCGUUAUCCGGAAUUAUUGGGCGUAAAGCGCUCGCAGGCGGUCUUUUAAGUCUGAUGUGAAAGCCCACGGCUCAACCGUGGAGGGUCAUUGGAAACUGGGAGACUUGAGUGCAGAAGAGGAGAGUGGAAUUCCACGUGUAGCGGUGAAAUGCGUAGAGAUGUGGAGGAACACCAGUGGCGAAGGCGACUCUCUGGUCUGUAACUGACGCUGAGGAGCGAAAGCGUGGGGAGCGAACAGGAUUAGAUACCCUGGUAGUCCACGCCGUAAACGAUGAGUGCUAAGUGUUAGAGGGUUUCCGCCCUUUAGUGCUGCAGCAAACGCAUUAAGCACUCCGCCUGGGGAGUACGGUCGCAAGACUGAAACUCAAAGGAAUUGACGGGGGCCCGCACAAGCGGUGGA
rnacentral:rRNA from 1 species